AAAAAAAAAAAAAAAAACACAUAAUUGAUUAUUGAUGAAAAAACUCAUAAACCCAUAUGAAAAUUCAAAGUUUCAUAUUACCUUUACUUCUUCAGCACUGAAAUCAAAAACCCAAUGAGAGAGAGAAGAUAGUUAGUGUUGAAAUCUGUAUAAAUUUUUGGAGUAAUAAUGAAAGAGUAAAACGCAAUUCAUGUCCUCUAAUUGCCAGAAGAAUCCACUAUAUAUCAUAAUUAUUAUACACUAACAGACUCUGAAAAGUGCAAAUGCACAUUCUCUGUGUGUAUUUCUGUGUGCAUAAAGUGCAGAUUUUCAGAAGAUCGCUCUCUCAACUCAUUCCUUAACAGACGGGAAAAAUGAAACUGCCUGUGCUUGGAAAAUGAAAAAUAUUGAGAAUAAAUAAAACGAUUAAAACAAUUUAUAACCGUCCAUAAUGACGUCAUCUUAUGAUCGACGGCUCUUGUUCUAUGAGGCUCAAACCCGUUAGAUAGAAAAUUAGACAGAAAUUCCACGUGUCGGUCUAUAGGACAGAGGCCGUAGUAAAUGAUGACGUGUGAUCUCUGUUCGUUGCUUUCCAUGCAUGUAUGAUGAAGUGGACGGCUCUGAGCCGAACACGGUAGAGCUAAUGCAAACGGCUGUCAGCUG
rnacentral:lncRNA from 1 species